rnacentral:rRNA from 1 species
CCUACGGGGGGCAGCAGUGAGGAAUAUUGGUCAAUGGCCGUAAGGCUGAACCAGCCAAGUAGCGUGAGGGAAGACUGCCCUAUGGGUUGUAAACCUCUUUUAUGCGGGGAUAAAGGUGUCCACGUGUGGGCUUAGCGAGAGUACCUGAAGAAAAAGCAUCGGCUAACUCCGUGCCAGCAGCCGCGGUAAUACGGAGGAUGCGAGCGUUAUCCGGAUUUAUUGGGUUUAAAGGGUGCGUAGGCGGAAUAUCAAGUCAGCGGUAAAAAUUCGGGGCUCAACCCCGUCGUGCCGUUGAAACUGAUGUUCUUGAGUGGGCGAGAAGUAUGCGGAAUGCGUGGUGUAGCGGUGAAAUGCAUAGAUAUCACGCAGAACUCCGAUUGCGAAGGCAGCAUACCGGCGCCCAACUGACGCUGAAGCACGAAAGCGUGGGUAUCGAACAGGAUUAGAUACCCUUGUAGUC